rnacentral:rRNA from 1 species
UAGGGAAUCUUCCGCAAUGGACGCAAGUCUGACGGAGCAACGCCGCGUGAGUGAAGAAGGAUUUCGGUUCGUAAAACUCUGUUGUUAGAGAAGAACAGCGCAUAGAGUAACUGUUAUGCGUGUGACGGUAUCUAACCAGAAAGCCACGGCUAACUACGUGCCAGCAGCCGCGGUAAUACGUAGGUGGCAAGCGUUGUCCGGAUUUAUUGGGCGUAAAGCGAGCUCAGGCGGUCAAUUAAGUCUGAUGUGAAAGCCCCCGGCUCAACCGGGGAGGGUCAUUGGAAACUGGUUGACUUGAGUGCAGAAGAGGAGAGUGGAAUUCAAUGUGUAGCGGUGAAAUGCGUAGAUAUAUGGAGGAACACCAGUGGCGAAGGCGACUCUCUGGUCUGUAACUGACGCGGAGGCUCGAAAGCGUGGGUAGCAAACAGG